AACGAACGCUGGCGGCAUGCCUAACACAUGCAAGUCGAACGAAGGCUUCGGCCUUAGUGGCGCACGGGUGCGUAACGCGUGGGAAUCUGCCCUUGGGUUCGGAAUAACAGCGGGGAACAGCUGCUAAUACCGGGUGAUGACGUAAGUCCAAAGAUUUGUCGCCCAAGGAUGAGCCCGCGUAGGCUUAGAUAGUUGGUAGGGUAAAGGGGCACGAAGGCGACGUUACUUAGAUGGUCUGAGAGGAUGAUCAGCCACACUGGCAGGGAGAAACGGCCCAGAAUCCUGCGGGAGGCGGCAGUGGGGAAUAUUGCAAAAUGGGCGAAAGCCUGAUGCUGCAAUGCCGCGUGAGUGAUGAAGGCCUUAGGGUUGUAAAGCUCGUUUACCCGGGAUUAUAAUGACAGUACCGGGAGAAUAAGCUCCGGCUAACUCCGUG
rnacentral:rRNA from 1 species